rnacentral:rRNA from 2 species
GGUUAAGCGACUAAGCGUACACGGUGGAUGCCCUGGCAGUCAGAGGCGAUGAAGGACGUGCUAAUCUGCGAUAAGCGUCGGUAAGGUGAUAUGAACCGUUAUAACCGG